CCUACGGGGGCAGCAGUGGGGAAUAUUGCACAAUGGGGGAAACCCUGAUGCAGCGACGCCGCGUGAGCGAUGAAGUAUUUCGGUAUGUAAAGCUCUAUCAGCAGGGAAGAAAAUGACGGUACCUGACUAAGAAGCCCCGGCUAACUACGUGCCAGCAGCCGCGGUAAUACGUAGGGGGCAAGCGUUAUCCGGAUUUACUGGGUGUAAAGGGAGCGUAGACGGCGGUGCAAGCCAGAUGUGAAAGCCCGGGGCUCAACCCCGGGACUGCAUUUGGAACUGUGCUGCUAGAGUGCAGGAGAGGUAAGUGGAAUUCCUAGUGUAGCGGUGAAAUGCGUAGAUAUUAGGAGGAACACCAGUGGCGAAGGCGGCUUACUGGACUGUAACUGACGUUGAGGCUCGAAAGCGUGGGGAGCAAACAAGAUUAGAUACCCGGGUAGUC
rnacentral:rRNA from 1 species